UGAGCAAUCUGCCCUUCUCUUCGGAAUAAGCGUUGGAAACGACGUCUAAUGCCGAAUACGACCUCCUUUCGCAUGAUCGGAGGUGGAAAGCUCCGGCGGAGAAGGAUGAACUCGCGGCCUAUCAGCUAGUUGGUGAGGUAACGCUCACCAAGGCGACGACGGGUAGCUGGUCUGAGAGGACGGCCAGCCACAGUUGGGACUGAGGCACGGCCCAGACCUCCGUACGGGAGNAGCG
rnacentral:rRNA from 1 species